rnacentral:rRNA from 1 species
CGCGCAGGCGGCUGGUCAAGUCCGAUGUGAAAUCUCCCGGCUUAACUGGGAAACUGCAUCGGAAACUGAUCGGCUUGAAGGUGGGAGAGGGUAGUGGAAUUCCCGGUGUAGUGGUGAAAUGCGUAGAUAUCGGGAGGAGCACCAGUGGCGAAGGCGACUACCUGGCCCAUUCUUGACGCUGAGGCGCGAAAGCUAGGGGAGCAACG